rnacentral:rRNA from 1 species
CGAACGCGUCUCCGUUAAUGAUUUUAGGUGCUUGCAUUUGAAAGAUUUAACAUUGAGACGAGUGGUGAACUGGUGAGUAACACGUGGGUAACCUGCCCUUGAAGUAGGGGAUAACACUUGGAAACGGGUGCUAAUACCGUAUAACAACCAAAACCACCCGGUUUUGGUUUAAAAGACGGCUUCGGCUGUCACUUUAGGAUGGACCCGCGGCGUAUUAGCUUGUUGGUAAGGUAACGGCCUACCAAGGCGAUGAUACGUAGCCGACCUGAGAGGGUAAUCGGCCACAUUGGGACUGAGACACGGCCCAAACUCCUACGGGAGGCAGCAGUAGGGAAUCUUCCACAAUGGACGAAAGUCUGAUGGAGCAACGCCGCGUGAGUGAUGAAGGGUUUCGGCUCGUAAAACUCUGUUGUUGGAGAAGAACAGGUGUCAGAGUAACUGUUGACAUCUUGACGGUAUCCAACCAGAAAGCCACGGCUAACUACGUGCCAGCAGCCGCGGUAAUACGUAGGUGGCAAGCGUUGUCCGGAUUUAUUGGGCGUAAAGCGAGCGCAGGCGGUUUUUUAGGUCUGAUGUGAAAGCCUUCGGCUUAACCGGAGAAGUGCAUCGGAAACCGGGAGACUUGAGUGCAGAAGAGGACAGUGGAACUCCAUGUGUAGCGGUGAAAUGCGUAGAUAUAUGGAAGAACACCAGUGGCGAAGGCGGCUGUCUGGUCUGUAACUGACGCUGAGGCUCGAAAGCAUGGGUAGCGAACAGGAUUAGAUACCCUGGUAGUCCAUGCCGUAAACGAUGAGUGCUAAGUGUUGGAGGGUUUCCGCCCUUCAGUGCUGCAGCUAACGCAUUAAGCACUCCGCCUGGGGAGUAC